UAAUAAGUGUUUUAUGGCACUUUUUAAAUCCAUGUCCACCUUGUGCGCAAUGUCAGUCGAUCUUCUUCAUGGAGAUCGACCAAACAUCAACCUUUAUCUUUUAACUCUUUGUCUGAAAAAUAUUAUGAAUAAACAAUUCAAAAUA
rnacentral:misc_RNA from 1 species